rnacentral:rRNA from 1 species
CGAAUGCUGACAUAAGUAACGAUAAAGCGGGUGAAAAGCCCGCUCGCCGGAAGACCAAGGGUUCCUGUCCAACGUUAAUCGGGGCAGGGUGAGUCGACCCCUAAGGCGAGGCCGAAAGGCGUAGUCGAUGGGAAACAGGUUAAUAUUCCUGUACUUGGUGUUACUGCGAAGGGGGGACGGAGAAGGCUAUGUUGGCCGGGCGACGGUUGUCCCGGUUUAAGCGUGUAGGCUGGUUUUCCAGGCAAAUCCGGAAAAUCAAGGCUGAGGCGUGAUGACGAGGCACUACGGUGCUGAAGCAACAAAUGCCCUGCUUCCAGGAAAAGCCUCUAAGCAUCAGGUAACAUCAAAUCGUACCCCAAACCGACACAGGUGGUCAGGUAGAGAAUACCAAGGCGCUUGAGAGAACUCGGGUGAAGGAACUAGGCAAAAUGGUGCCGUAACUUCGGGAGAAGGCACGCUGAUAUGUAGGUGAAGUCCCUCGCGGAUGGAGCUGAAAUCAGUCGAAGAUACCAGCUGGCUGCAACUGUUUAUUAAAAACACAGCACUGUGCAAACACGAAAGUGGACGUAUACGGUGUGACGCCUGCCCGGUGCCGGAAGGUUAAUUGAUGGGGUCAGCGCAAGCGAAGCUCUUGAUCGAAGCCCCGGUAAACGGCGGCCGUAACUAUAACGGUCCUAAGGUAGCGAAAUUCCUUGUCGGGUAAGUUCCGACCUGCACGAAUGGCGUAAUGAUGGCCAGGCUGUCUCCACCCGAGACUCAGUGAAAUUGAACUCGCUGUGAAGAUGCAGUGUACCCGCGGCAAGACGGAAAGACCCCGUGAACCUUUACUAUAGCUUGACACUGAACAUUGAGCCUUGAUGUGUAGGAUAGGUGGGAGGCUUUGAAGUGUGGACGCCAGUCUGCAUGGAGCCGACCUUGAAAUACCACCCUUUAAUGUUUGAUGUUCUAACGUUGACCCGUGAUCCGGGUUGCGGACAGUGUCUGGUGGGUAGUUUGACUGGGGCGGUCUCCUCCUAAAGAGUAACGGAGGAGCACGAAGGUUGGCUAAUCCUGGUCGGACAUCAGGAGGUUAGUGCAAUGGCAUAAGCCAGCUUGACUGCGAGCGUGACGGCGCGAGCAGGUGCGAAAGCAGGUCAUAGUGAUCCGGUGGUUCUGAAUGGAAGGGCCAUCGCUCAACGGAUAAAAGGUACUCCGGGGAUAACAGGCUGAUACCGCCCAAGAGUUCAUAUCGACGGCGGUGUUUGGCACCUCGAUGUCGGCUCAUCACAUCCUGGGGCUGAAGUAGGUCCCAAGGGUAUGGCUGUUCGCCAUUUAAAGUGGUACGCGAGCUGGGUUUAGAACGUCGUGAGACAGUUCGGUCCCUAUCUGCCGUGGGCGCUGGAGAACUGAGGGGGGCUGCUCCUAGUACGAGAGGACCGGAGUGGACGCAUCACUGGUGUUCGGGUUGUCAUGCCAAUGGCACUGCCCGGUAGCUAAAUGCGGAAGAGAUAAGUGCUGAAAGCAUCUAAGCACGAAACUUGCCCCGAGAUGAGUUCUCCCUGACCCUUUAAGGGUCCUGAAGGAACGUUGAAGACGACGA